UGGAUCCAGACUUUGAUCCUGGCUCAGGACGAACGCUGGCGGCGCGCCUAACACAUGCAAGUCGAACGGGGUGCGUCCGAAUGAAAUUUUCGGAUGGAAUUUGGAUGUACCUAGUGGCGAACGGGUGAGUAACACGUGAAUAACCUGCCCUGGAGUGGGGGACAACAGUUGGAAACGACUGCUAAUACCGCAUAAGCCCACAGAGCCGCAUGGCUCAGGGGGAAAAGGAGCAAUUCGCUUCAGGAUGGAUUCGCGUCCAAUUAGCUAGAUGGUGAGGUAACGGCCCACCAUGGCAACGAUUGGUAGCCGGACUGAGAGGUUGAUCGGCCACAUUGGGACUGAGACACGGCCCAGACUCCUACGGGAGGCAGCAGUGGGGAAUAUUGCACAAUGGGGGAAACCCUGAUGCAGCGACGCCGCGUGGAGGAAGAAGGUCUUCGGAUUGUAAACUCCUGUCGUUGGGGACGAUAAUGACGGUACCCAACAAGAAAGCCACGGCUAACUACGUGCCAGCAGCCGCGGUAAAACGUAGGUGGCAAGCGUUGUCCGGAAUUACUGGGUGUAAAGGGAGCGCAGGCGGAAGGACAAGUUGGAAGUGAAACCCACGGGCUCAACCCGUGAACUGCUUUCAAAACUGUUUUUCUUGAGUGGUGUAGAGGUAGGCGGAAUUCCCGGUGUAGCGGUGGAAUGCGUAGAUAUCGGGAGGAACACCAGUGGCGAAGGCGGCCUACUGGGCACUAACUGACGCUGAGGCUCGAAAGCAUGGGUAGCAAACAGGAUUAGAUACCCUGGUAGUCCAUGCCGUAAACGAUGAUUACUAGGUGUGGGAGGAUUGACCCCUUCCGUGCCGCAGUUAACACAAUAAGUAAUCCACCUGGGGAGUACGACCGCAAGGUUGCAACUCAAAGGGAAUUGACGGAA
rnacentral:rRNA from 1 species